rnacentral:rRNA from 1 species
UACGGAAGGGGCAAGCGUUGUUCGGAAUCAUUGGGCGUAAAGGGCGCGUAGGUGGUUCUGUAUGUCUGCCGUGAAAGCGUACGGCUCAACCGUAUUUUGUCGGUAGAAACUGCAGGACUUGAGGCUGGGAGGGGCUGGUGGAAUUCCCUGUGUAGCGGUGAAAUGCGCAGAUAUCAGGAGGAACACCGAUGGCGAAGGCAGGUCUCUGGGCCGAUACUGACGCUGAGGAGCGAAAGCGUGGGGAGCGAACAGG